UACGUAGGGGGCUAGCGUUGUCCGGAAUCAUUGGGCGUAAAGCGCGUGUAGGCGGCCCGGUAAGUCCGCUGUGAAAGUCGGGGGCUCAACCCUCGAAUGCCGGUGGAUACUGUCGGGCUAGAGUACGGAAGAGGCGAGUGGAAUUCCUGGUGUAGCGGUGAAAUGCGCAGAUAUCAGGAAGAACACCAAUGGCGAAGGCAGCUCGCUGGGACGGUACUGACGCUGAGGCGCGAAAGCGUGGGGAGCAAACAGG
rnacentral:rRNA from 1 species